GGCAUGAGCGCGUCCAGAGUGACAGGGGUGGAUCGGGCGAGGGCGGCGCCUGGUGCGCAGCCGGCGCCCGCGCAGCCGACACCGGAGGCGCAGCAGCAGCCGCCGGCAACGGAGCCGCGCCACCACAGGCACCACAGUCAGGCCUCCGAACUGGUGUGUGUCCUUGUCCCACGGCGGAAGCACGGCACUCCACGGAACCUAGCGGACAUGAGGAGCGCCUCGGACAAGGGGACAAUGGAUCGCACUUAAAUAAAUAGGCAUUGUUUUGUGCCCCCACUAUAUGUUUGGCUGAGCGUGAAAUCACCUACCUAAAUUCAUCCAGUUAACCGGAAGACGAGACACGUGAGCCACUUCUCCAGAGUGAUCUUUGAAAUGUCAUCACGUGGAGUUGUGUGUCGCACCGGUUCAGAAACGUUAAGUCAAAGUUGUAAUGCCGUUGCAAUACGUAAUCCCCCGGGCCGGAUCGGAACCUGCCGAUCACUGCUUCGGACCUGCACCCUCUGCCACUUACCACUGCGUCGGGCGCCCCGCGGGAGCUGGAGUCGCUGAGAGAUGGCUCCCUUCUGCCAGUGGGUUCGCCGCUAAUGAAGGUGAGACCCCGUGUGGAUGGGGACGGAGCGCUUUAGGCCACAACGAGGACCGACGAGCCGCCUGUAGUGGUUGUGCCCGAGUGGAGUCACAUCACAGCGCUGAUGGUGGACGAGGGACAUCGUCGAUGUUUGCACCAGGCGUCCGCGUCACCCUUGCUCUGUUCUCUGCAGAGUAUUUCAUUCACAGGAGAACCAUACACAGGGUCGUCGGCACACGCAGUAGGUGUCGGUGCCACAACGGACUCCUCCAUAGGUGCUGCGGUGCUGGAGCAGCCCCGAGGCCGACCCACCCGUCUGCCGGCGGUUGGCGAGGUCAUGCUGGUCCACGGCGGAGGCCCUCGCGGCUCGUGACUUUCGGCCAGGGUGGCUUCGCUCAUCAAAAGACCGGAUGGCCGCUGUCGUGCCGCGGCAAUUCUGCUCCGCGGAAAUCUCACUCGCCGACCCACCGCCAAGCUGUACCGGCUGGAGGCAUCGCCAGACACCACCUGUGACCGCGAUGCGGACCUGAGCCGGUCGUCGUGUGGCACGCCUCCGGCGGUGUUUAGCGCGGCUCGGCACCGAAAGAGCGCGGUGAUGCGCGAGCAACGGUGCCGCCCAGGUGCGGGCGUACGCGUACCGUGACGCCGGUGGACGGUCGACGUGACGUGGCGUCGACCCAGCUGCUGAAUCCUGGUGUCGUGACUGUGUCGUGAGCGCAAAAUAAAAGUAGCUUUUGUGCUCCACUCAGACAAAAUUAGGUUUCUUGGUCCACGAAACCUCUCAUGUGCCAAAUAAUCCGACGAUGAGACAUGUGAACCAAUUUUCGAGAGCGCUCCUUAACUACCGCCACGUGGCGUUGUGCCGGUCCAAAAACGUUUGAGUAAAAGCUGCAUUAGAUACCUUUUCAAUGCAUAGUCCUCCGGGUAGGAUCCAAAACUGUCUACCAUUGCUUGCUUUCUGUGGUUAGCGCUUGAGCCUUCCAAUUGCCUUCUGCUAUUUGUACAGGUGAUGUUGCAUCACCGCAAACACGAAGGCUUAAGAGGACUGUUUCCUACUGGAAGAUAUUGAGACAAGUCUGAUACACGAUGAAAAUACUCACUUAGAGCUAU